rnacentral:rRNA from 1 species
CCCUUAGAUGUUCUGGGCCGCACGCGCGCUACACUGACGAUGGCAACGAGUUUUUCCUUCGCCGAAAGGUGUGGGUAAUCUUUUGAAACAUCGUCGUGCUGGGGAUAGAUCAUUGCAAUUUUUGAUCUUGAACGAGGAAUUCCUAGUAAGCGCGAGUCAUCAGCUCGCGUUGAUUACGUCCCUGCCCUUGGUACACACCGCCCGUCGCUACUACCGAUUGAAUGGUUUAGUGAGGACUCCUGAUUGGCGCCGCCGCCCCGGCAACGGAGCAGCGGACUGCCGAAAAGUUGUUCAAACUUGAUCAUUUAGAGGAAGUAAAAGUCGUAACA